rnacentral:rRNA from 1 species
AGCAGCCGCGGUAAUUCCAGCUCCAAUAGCGUAUAUUAAAGUUGUUGCAGUUAAAAGCUCGUAGUUGAAUUUCGGGAUCAAGUCGUCGGCCGUGCUCAGGUACGUACUGGCGUCAUUGAUUUCUCCCUUCUGACGAACCAUGAUGUCAUUAAUUUGGUGUUAUGGGAAAUCAGGACUGUUACUUUGAAAAAAUUAGAGUGUUUAAAGCAGGCUCACGCUUGAAUACAUUAGCAUGGAAUAAUGAAAUAGGACGUUCGAUCCUAUUUUGUUGGUUUUAGGAUCAACGUAAUGAUUAAUAGGGAUAGUUGGGGGCAUUAGUAUUCAAUUGUCAGAGGUGAAAUUCUUGGAUUUAUUGAAGACUAACUACUGCGAAAGCAUUUGCCAAGGAUGUUUUCAUUAAUCAAGAACGAAAGUUGGGGACAAGACGAUCGAUACCGUCGUAGUCUUAACCAUAAACUAUGCCGACUAGGGAUCGGAUGAUGUUAAUUUUUUAAUGAC